rnacentral:rRNA from 1 species
AUUGAACGCUGGCGGCAGGCCUAACACAUGCAAGUCGAGCGGAUGAAGGGAGCUUGCUCCUGGAUUCAGCGGCGGACGGGUGAGUAAUGCCUAGGAAUCUGCCUGGUAGUGGGGGAUAACGUCCGGAAACGGGCGCUAAUACCGCAUACGUCCUGAGGGAGAAAGUGGGGGAUCUUCGGACCUCACGCUAUCAGAUGCGCCUAGGUCGGAUUAGCUAGUUGGUGGGGUUAAGGCCUACCAAGGCGACGAUCCGUAACUGGUCUGAGAGGAUGAUCAGUCACACUGGAACUGAGACACGGUCCAGACUCCUACGGGAGGCAGCAGUGGGGAAUAUUGGACAAUGGGCGAAAGCCUGAUCCAGCCAUGCCGCGUGUGUGAAGAAGGUCUUCGGAUUGUAAAGCACUUUAAGUUGGGAGGAAGGGCAGUAAGUUAAUACCUUGCUGUUUUGACGUUACCAACAGAAUAAGCACCGGCUAACUUCGUG